rnacentral:misc_RNA from 1 species
AAGAAGAAGAAGAAGUCUCUACAAGCAUCGUCAAAGGAAGAAUAAGAGGUGCAUUCUCUGCAUCUAAAAGAAGAAGAAUAGUCAGCAAAGAACAGGACAAGAUGUGAUGAGCUGAUAUUUUUGUUUUUUCAAUAGAAGAAGCCUAAGUUAUAAUAGAAGCCUGGUUGUAAGGCACAUUGUUUGAAGACUAAGUUAUAAGACCAACAACAAAAGUCCACCUCAUUAUUAUGUUUCAAAUUUUGGGCUUAUCUUUAUGUAAACCUAAGUUACAAUUAAAACCCAUCUUGAUAUUAUUAUAAGGCCUAUAAUUAUGGGCUUAACUUAUUAUUUCUUUUACUAAUAUUAAUCUUAUAAAAUU